UCCGCGACGACGCUUGCUUCUCGGAUAUUGUGGUUGACCUGAUGCUGUUCUUCAACAAUUCUACACUGCAAAGUGCAUUCUAGAUAAGCAUAUGGUGGUUGAUUAGCAUAAUCUUGGAAUGGAGAUCUCAAACAUCAGCCUGCCUCAUUUGAGAUAAACUUCAUGAUCUUGUAUCUUGUAUGUUUUUUUAUAUGAAGUCAUAGUCUUGGUGAUAUUGCUAUGGUUGGCAAGCCAUGUUAUCUUUUUGCAGUUUG
rnacentral:misc_RNA from 1 species